rnacentral:rRNA from 1 species
CCUACGGGAGGCAGCAGUGGGGAAUUUUGGACAAUGGGGGCAACCCUGAUCCAGCAAUGCCGCGUGUGUGAAGAAGGCCUUCGGGUUGUAAAGCACUUUUGGCGGGAACGAAACGGUGGGGGCUAAUACCCUCUGCUAAUGACGGUACCCGCAGAAUAAGCACCGGCUAACUACGUGCCAGCAGCCGCGGUAAUACGUAGGGUGCAAGCGUUAAUCGGAAUUACUGGGCGUAAAGCGUGCGCAGGCGGUUGUGCAAGACAGAUGUGAAAUCCCUGGGCUUAACCUAGGAAUUGCAUUUGUGACUGCACGGCUAGAGUGUGUCAGAGGGGGGUAGAAUUCCACGUGUAGCAGUGAAAUGCGUAGAUAUGUGGAGGAAUACCGAUGGCGAAGGCAGCCCCCUGGGAUAACACUGACGCUCAUGCACGAAAGCGUGGGGAGCAAACAGGAUUAGAUACCCCUGUAGUC